rnacentral:rRNA from 1 species
ACGCCUUAUACAUGCAAGUCGAACGAAGUAGCAAUACUUAGUGGCAGACGGGUGAGUAACAUGUGGGUAUCUUCCCUUUGGUGAGGAAUAACACGAGGAAACUUGUGCUAAUACCUCAUAAGUCUUUACGGAGAAAGCUUUAUGCGCCAAUGGAUGAGCCCGCACUUGAUUAGUUUGUUGGUGGGGUAAUGGCCUACCAAGACUUUGAUCAAUAGCUGAUUUGAGAGGAUGAUCAGCCACAUUGGGACUGAGACACGGCCCAAACUCCUACGGGAGGCAGCAGUAAGGAAUCUUGCACAAUGGAGGAAACUCUGAUGCAGCGAUGCCGCGUGAGUGAAGAAGGCCUUUGGGUUGUAAAGCUCUUUCGUCGGGGAAGAAAAUGACUGUACCCGAAUAAGAAGGUCCGGCUAACUUCGUGCCAGCAGCCGCGGUAAUACGAAGGGACCUAGCGUAGUUCGGAAUUACUGGGCUUAAAGAGUUCGUAGGUGGUUAAAAAAGUUGGUGGUGAAAUCCCAGAGCUUAACUCUGGAACUGCCAUCAAAACUUUUUAGCUAGAGUAUGAUAGAGGAAAGCAGAAUUUCUAGUGUAGAGGUGAAAUUCGUAGAUAUUAGAAAGAAUACCAAUUGCGAAGGCAGCUUUCUGGAUCAUUACUGACGCUGAGGAACGAAAGCAUGGGUAGCGAAGAGGAUUAGAUACCCUCGUAGUCCAUGCCGUAAACGAUGUGUGUUAGACGUUGGAAAUUUAUUUUCAGUGUCGCAGCGAAAGCGAUAAACACACCGCCUGGGGAGUACGACCGC